UAGGGAAUUUUCCACAAUGGGCGAAAGCCUGAUGGAGCAACGCCGCGUGAGGGAUGAAGCAUUUCGGUGUGUAAACCUCUUUGGAGCGGGAAGAAUGCCGUUUGGGUGAACAAUCCAGACGGGUGACGGUACCGCUAGAACAAGACACGGCUAACUUCGUGCCAGCAGCCGCGGUAAUACGAAGGUGUCAAACGUUGUCCGGAAUUAUUGGGCGUAAAGGGCGCGUAGGCGGCCAGGUAAGUGAGAUGUGAAAGCUCUGGGCUCAACCCAGGAAUUGCAUUUCAUACUGCUUGGCUUGAGUUCGGUAGAGGAGGGCGGAAUUCCAGAAGUAGCGGUGAAAUGCGUUGAUAUCUGGAGGAACACCCGUGGCGAAGGCGGCUCUCUGGUCCGAUACUGACGCUGAGGCGCGAAAGGUAGGGGAGCAAACAGG
rnacentral:rRNA from 1 species